AGGAUAUAUUUAGCAGCAGCAGGAGUAUCAAGGCCUUCCCUUUUUUUUUGGAGGCGUCCCUUUUCUCACCUCCCACUCCCUCCCUCUUUCUGCCUCCUCCUCUUCCUCCUCCUCCUCCUCCUCCAAAACAGCUCUUUGUCUGGUCUAAUUUCUUCAAUCUGUUGCAAUCAUGAAUGCAUACAAAUUACCACAUUUCCAUGUGCUGAUCAUAUGUUUGUGCUGUAAACUGAAGUAGCAUUGUCUCUUUGAAACAGUAGGAAAAAGAAGAAAAGGAAGAGAAAUAAAAAGCAAGGGGAGAAGGGGCUGGACAUAUGACCUGAAAAAAAUCCAGCAGCCCCCAAAUAGUCCACCCCACGCAGGACUACUGUAAAGUCCAAGUUUUCCCUGAGAUGAUCUUAAAGCUACAGCCUGCAGUUUCUGGCUUGCUGCCUCAGCCAGGUCUGGCAUUUCAGCCCGUAUGAGAAGUAGCAGGUUGCCUGUCCCCCUCUCUUCAGGUUACGGAGUAACCUCUCCAGGCCUGCCUAUUCCCUGACAUACAACAAUAUUGAAGAAUAUCACAUAAACUUAAAUGAUAGAGCAGUGGCAGGGUUUGAGACGAUUGACCAAUCUCCAAUUUUGAAAGACGUUCUGCUGUAGAUAAAAUGAUAUGAAACAGCACUGCAUGUGACAGAGAACUUUUACUUGUCAAUUGAUGUCAGUUGUUGUUGUCUUAUUUUAAGAAAUUGCCACAGCCACCUUAACCUUCAGCAACCACCCCCCUAAU